AUUGAACGCUGGCGGCAUGCCUUACACAUGCAAGUCGAGCGGCAGCAUGAUCUAGCUUGCUAGAUUGAUGGCGAGUGGCGAACGGGUGAGUAAUACAUCGGAACGUGCCCUGUAGUGGGGGAUAACUAGUCGAAAGAUUAGCUAAUACCGCAUACGACCUGAGGGUGAAAGUGGGGGACCGCAAGGCCUCAUGCUAUAGGAGCGGCCGAUGUCUGAUUAGCUAGUUGGUGAGGUAAAGGCCCACCAAGGCGACGAUCAGUAGCUGGUCUGAUAGGACGAUCAGCCACACUGGGACUGAGAAACGGCCCAGACUCCUACGGGAGGCAGCAGUGGGGAAUUUUGGACAAUGGGGGCAACCCUGAUCCAGCAAUGCCGCGUGUGUGAAGAAGGCCUUCGGGUUGUAGAGCACUUUUGUCCGGAAAGAAAUCGCACUUACUAAUAUUAGGUGUGGAUGACGGUACCGGAAGAAUAAGGACCGGCUAACUACGUGCCAGCCGCCGCCGUAACAC
rnacentral:rRNA from 1 species